GUAGGGUGCAAGCGUUAAUCGGAAUUACUGGGCGUAAAGCGUGCGCAGGCGGUUUUGUAAGUCUGUCGUGAAAGCCCCGGGCUUAACCUGGGAAUUGCGAUGGAGACUGCAAGGCUUGAAUCUGGCAGGGGGGGGUAGAAUUCCACGUGUAGCAGUGAAAUGCGUAGAGAUGUGGAGGAACACCGAUGGCGAAGGCAGCCCCCUGGGUCAAGAUUGACGCUCAUGCACAAAAGCGUGGGGAGCAAACAGGAUUAGAUACCCUGGUAGUCCACGCCCUAAACGAUGUCUACUAGUUGUCGGGUCUUAAUUGACUUGGUAACGCAGCUAACGCGUGAAGUAGACCGCCUGGGGAGUACGGUCGCAAGAUUA
rnacentral:rRNA from 1 species